rnacentral:tRNA from 1 species
GGUCUUUUAGUUUAUAAAAAAUGUUAAUUUGCAACUUUAAGGAAAGAGAAAUCUAAAGACUU